GGCUUUGGCUUCGGCCCUGCUGGCUCCUGAGGGGCAGGAGCUCUGCACAACAGGGGAAUUGAAAAGGCUUAAAUUGGGUAUGGGGAUUUCUCCAAACUCAGCUAAAUAACAUAACAAGGGCUCUUUUGGUAAGAGUGGGGAUGGAAGAAGUGUUGCUGGGAGAAGACUGCUCUGUGUUGACCGUGUUUUCAUCCCCAGUGACCCAGGCUCAGCACAGGGCCCCACCACAGGCACAGCAGAGACCCUCCACCCUCCCAGGCAGCGUCACCAUGCCUCAAGGUACUUGAACCUGGAAUCAAAAGAGCUGAGAUAUGCAGGAGGGAUGGAAACACAGCUGGUUUACAGUUACAUGUGUGACACACGCCUUGUCCAUGAAGUGGUGCCAUCUUCUUGUGACAUCUCCAUCCCGUGCACACAGCCUGGCCUCUGAAGGCUGUCUGAGUUUUCUGUGGUUCCUGCCAGCCCAGCAGUGCAGUCACAUGGUGCUCAGGAACCUGCCACCAGUAAUUUUGCUGUGGAGCAGAGGAAAUGAACUGGCAGGCGCUGAACCCUGUCGCACGCUCCUCAUGAGCACAGGUGAUGUCUCUGGGAAACAGAAAAUGGCAACGAAGGCCAGAGAGUGCUGCUGGGAUGCCUCUGCUGUUCUGGCUGUGUAAGGUGAGAGUCUUCUGCAAUUCUCCUCUCAUCCAUUUACCCCUGGCUGACCUUCCCAAGGGCUGGUGAACCUGAGAUGUGGGACACUGCUGUGUUGGAGGCACCUGUUCCAUCCCAACCAUGCCUGAAAGCACGUGCUGGGUGUCGAGUGGCUGGAAGUUACCCCAUGCUUUGUGAAGGGGAGCUGCUGAUUAGGAAAUAAGUAAAACACCAGCCAUCUGUGUGUUCCAGCAAUCACAACAGCAUCCACAGAGCAUCGACUUCAGUUCACAAAUAUUAAUUUAAAAAACCCUCUUUCAUAUUUGCCUGGAAAGAAAGCUGGAGCUCAUUAUGGCUGCACGCUUUAUGGAAGCCUUGUAAGUGCAGCAGAGGGAAUUCCCUCAAGGUCUUUGUUUCCUGGUGGAUGCUGUGCCUUAAUGACAUUCGGGGCAGCGUUGUUGGGAAGGAGCAAAUGAGCUCAGCUUGGACCACCACCUUUGAGGGGUUGGGCCCCCAUAGCAAGGCCUGGAUCAGCCCAAAACACCCAUCAAGGACACACCUGAAGAGAGAGAAGUCUAAGCAGUGCUGGGCCACAAGGUGCACGGUGGAGGCAGCACCUGGGCUGGUUGAGCUUGGGAGCUGUGCCUGCAGCUGGUCUGCUGCUUCCAGGAACACCAACCAAUGCUGUGUGGCAGCACAUUGCAAAUUGUGAAGUUUUCUUCUAUGACCAGAAGUGGAAUUUCAUCUCACUCGGCUUUCCCUUCCUUGCUGUUUGUGAUGCAGUUCCAGCACCUGUGGCAAAGCACGAAGGCAGCGUGUUUCAACCUCCAGGGAAGUGCACGAAGAGCCUGGAGCGGGCACAUUCCUGCUGUGGCUGUCCAUGAGUUUGCUAGGCCUGCCUCUACCCCAUCCGUAGCUUCUACUGGAUGUGAGCAGAGCAGUGGAACCCAAUGUCUCCCCUGCUAACAGCUGGAUCCAGGUACCACACACUUCCCUUUGACCUUUCUUUAAUGGAGUUGUUUCAAGCAGAGACCAGUACUCUUACAAUUGCUUCUCCAUUUAAAACAGAAAAAAUGCUCUCCUAAAAUCCAAUUUCACUAAGUAUUAUUUGUCUUUCAUAUGUUUACACUUGAAUACCAACACACUUAUGCAGCAAACUAAACCAAUGCCUUCAUAUUUCACAUGCUCUCACGUAACAUUUGUGCUCUGCUAAAGGCUUGAAAUCCGGGGCUACUGACAAGACAUUUUUCACAAAACAUAGCCAAAAGCAAGUUCCUGUGUUGUUCAGCAAGUCUGACACCCUGGAUUAAUCUACUUGCAGCUGUUGAAGGGUGUCUUACCUCUCCUUGUCUACUCCCACCCAUGGAGCUCUGUUGCUCCUUGUGUCUCGUUUGACUCAAUUUAGCUUGCAAUAUCAGAAGCAUAUUUUUGCAGGAUUUUCUUAUGGCAAUGUCCAUGAGCUGUUAGGUUGGCUCAUCUUCUGGGUAGACCACACCCACUGCUAAAGCCUACUUCCCCCCAGCAAAAUUUUUGUUUUUGUAGCCAGAAGAACAGGGAGGUGCUUUCUGGAGGAUGAUGACACAAUGCCAGCCAAGACUCUUCUCUAACCACUGCUGAUAUUAUACUGGCAAGGGCUCAUUUCUCUAUUUGAUGAACUCGAGUCAUGCAACUAUCUCAACUACUACGUGCUGACUCACAAAACCUCACAGGUCAACUUCCUGUCAGUCCUGCCUGUGGCCCUGUGUAAAGAUGACUCAAUAUUCCUAAGCAAAUGGACCCAUAUGGGAUGUAGAAAUGAAGAGUGCAGUAUAUCCAGGACUGCUAGCUGCACUCUUAUUCAUGUCUCCUAAGACUUAAACGAAUUGCAAAAGCGGGCUGAAAUUCAGAAUGAAGUUGAAUUCUAGGAAGUUUAAGAGGUCUGAUUCAAAACCUUGUCAUUAUCUUGGGUUUUGUAGUACCAUGCAAAUGUUUAGCACUUAGGAAAACAUAUGGAUUUCCAGAUUCUUCUGAAAUUUUAAACAGAUUACUAAAACAGAAGAAUGUAUCUCACAUUCAAAGAUACCUCUCCUGAAUAGUUAGUUUUUUUGAUGCUCUAGUUAUUUUCUGAGGUAUGAGAUUUACAGAUAAUCCUGCUUGUCCCUCAAGUAAAGGACACGUUUAACAGCAGAUUGUUGAAUGAAAUCCCAACUGAUUCUUCACAGGCAUUUCAGACCCAGCCUUUCAAACUGAGGUUGACCUGAGCCUGAGUUUUCCUGGUGUUACAUUCUGUCACAGCAGAAUGCAUUCCUGUCCAUCUUGUCCAGUUGCAUUCUAGGCUUCAGCAUGGCAAAACCACCACUGAACAGAGGAAUGGAGUAUCACAGCUGUGAAAACUGAACUGGACUACAUACCAACAAACCUUCAAUAAUAUAAUCCUUUAAGGAAAUGCAGGGCUACCCAUAGCAGGGACCACUAAAGACAUAAAUACCAUGUCAGAGCUCAGAAAUUUCGAAGGACUAUAGAAAAGCUAUUUCCAAGUUUAGCAGACACUGUUCUGAAUGGAAGUUGUGUUAAGACAGUGCACUUCCUUCUGAAUUUGUACUGAACUGACACUGAGACUGAGCUCCAAGACUUAAACCAAUGAGAUAUAAGUAACAGCGGACAAAUACAGCAUUGAGCUUACAACUGAAAUACCGGGUAGGUAUCAAGUUUUAGCAUUCUUUCCAAGCUGCAUCUUGUUUCAUCUGUCAAAAGCUUCUCUCAAGUUUCAUCAGAAGCUGGUAGACAUUGUUUCCUUUUCCAUGUUAUUUUGCUACUUACCCCAAAGGCUGCAUCUCAGUUCUGAAACUGCUGCAUUUUGGUAUCUGGUAGAAGUACUCUUAUUAUUUAUAGAGCAGUAUUACCUUCUCAGUAUCUACACAGCUCAAAUUACAACACACCAUUUUCAGCAAACGGAUGAAGACUUCAUCCCAGGACCUGCAGUUAACCUGGAACUGCCUAGAAGCAGGAGUCAAGGUCUUACAGAGGGAAGGCUCUGUAAGAAUUAACUGGUCAUGGUUAGUUUAUUCAUAUGGAUAUGGUACAUCUGCUGGGCAAGCUCAAGAAAGAGGAAACAACGGCUCCUCUAGUUGGCCAUGGAGCUCAGUCUCUGGGGCUACUGCCCCAGCGCUAACUCUGCAGGAAAAUCAGCACCAAGGGGAACUCAGAUGUCCAGUUCUGAUACAGCAUCUCCCUCAUGCAUCCAGGAUUUUUCUAAUGAUUAAUGUCUUAAUGCUAGUAGUGUCUUUUCUCAUUUUCUUUUUACAUUUUUUUUCUUCUCCUGUGUUCUUAAUGGCUGCUGGGAAGCAGUAAACAGAGGCGUGAUUUCUAUUACCAAGCAGUUUGUAUUUAACAAUUCUGAGUAUCUUUACACCUCUUUUCAUAUGAGCAUUUAUUUUUUGCAACUUUCUUGUAAUUUAUCUUGAUUUUUUGUCUAUGUUUUAAACGGUCUAUUCAUAUUCUGGUUUAGUUCUUUAUCUGAAUUUAAUAUAUCAUAACAGUGUCCCCCCAGCUUUACAUAUUUGACUACAAAAAAAAUGGUCCUCUGCUAGUGUUAAGCCUGAUUACAUCUGAGUUUUCUUGCAUUGGAAAACUCUUUUAUAUAUAAACCCAAUCCCAUUAUUGGUAUUUCAGAUCUUCAGUCACGUCCCAAGCCUGCAACCAGAUCCAUGUAGGUGAACUACUCUAUUGACAACAUCCCCCUUAAGUCAGACAGCUCUCAGCAUGCACCCACCCAGCUGCAGGAGAAAGAACACCUUUCAUAUUUAGAUUAAUCCCCAGACAACAUGAUCUUCCUAAAGCAAAAUGUCAUUGAUAGUAUUUGGCAAAACCCUGCUAAAUAGCAAGGGCUAGUUUUUCAAUGUAAUUUUCCCCCUCACAGCAUCUUAACAGAAAUUAUUUCUCUUAUACCUCAGUCUUUAAAUGAACAUCUCAGUUACUGAAAGUCUGAAGUCACAAGUAAUAGCUCUGGUUCCAGGAUAACAGACUCUCAUAUGUUUCACUAGCAGCUUCUGAUAUUGCCAAACAAACUCUUAAGUUCUUCUUGCUGUAGAAGUCUUUUUUUUUUUUUAAUACUGCAAUAGUCAGGCAAGUUUGCAUUUUAAUUUUUUUCCUGAAAUGUCCUUAUAUAUGUAUACUGAUGGAUUUUUACAGGUUGUGUAUAUUAGCUUUCACUGGCUAAAAAUGAUUUCUGACAUUUAAAAAAAACCCUGAGACUUCUGUUCCUACUUCCAACUUUUGUUUAUUAAAAUAAAAAAUACAAAUUGCAAAAAAACCCAUUUUCUUUAUGGCUGUGUUAUCUACCUUGUCAACAACUAACUCUAAAGUAGAAUUACAUGAGACUAUGUAAAUAAUACAGACAUUUAACAAACAGAAGGGGUUGGUUGGUUUUUUGAACUACCUUGGGAAAAAUGAAUUGUGACAAAAAGACUGGGGACUAAUUUAUGACUUACUAUUAAGUCACCUGAAGGUACUCUCAACAUACCAGCAAAAGUAAAUGGGUUAGAAAUAAGACUGUACAUCACACAGUAUGAACAAGCUUUAUCCAUCAUAACUUCCUGUUAUUAAAUUCACAUUUUCUGAGUGCAUUUUUUCCUGUUCUGUAAUAGUUUAUUAAGCUUGGGCAGUUACUGCAAGGUCAUAGUGCUGGGACUGAUUAAAAAGCACUGUUUAUUCUCUGCUCAGAGAGGCUGUUGAAAAUCCUGACCAUACUUCUGGGUUUCCAUGAGUUUAUCUCAGGAGCCUGGGACUCCACACACUCAGCCCAACUG